rnacentral:tRNA from 1 species
GCCUUCUUAGCUCAGAGGUAGAGCAUUGUAUUUGUAAUGCGAUGGUCGUCGGUUCGAAUCCGACAGAAGGCUAAU